UACCAAAACCUAAAACCAAUUUCCCUUCUCCAAUCUCUCACAUCCGAUUUUCCCCUCCCCCGUCGCCGCAAUCUGCCCCACCGCGCCCCGCCCCUCCCACCGUCGCGAUCUGCUUCGCCGUACCACCUUCAAACCUGAAACCCUAAUCUAGCGCGCCUCCACAAUCUACACACACUUGCGCCCCUCUUCUUCUCUCCUCUGAGGCGCGACCAGAGAAGUCCGCCAGUUGCGCGCCUGGAGCAGGGGACGAUACAGCCAGGUUUAGAUGAUCUUUGAUGCAUAGUGAGUAACAAUGGUUGCCUUGCGUCUGGCACCACCGCCAUCAAUGACUAUCCCGCCGGACAUUACUUGGCUCCGAAACAGUUCUUGAUCACCCAUGGAUGUCGACGUCGAGAAGCAGCAGCGCCCCUACCUCUCAAGUCUCGGCGGGUAUCCGACGGGUAGUCGGUGGCGGGUAUCCGACGGGUGGCAGGUAUCCGCGGGUCACAGGUAUGGGUGGCAAAUAAUGUUUUUGAAUAUACAUUUUGCUAAGUCAUGUUAAGGAUGAAAGUCCUCUUUAAUUUAUUUUUUCAUUUUAGUUUGAUGUGUAACGUAGACCUAUAUCAUAUUAACAAUUUUUUAGUGAAUAAUCUCCAUAAUUUAUA